rnacentral:rRNA from 1 species
UGGGGAAUAUUGGACAAUGGGCGCAAGCCUGAUCCAGCCAUGCCGCGUGAGUGAUGAAGGCCCUAGGGUUGUAAAGCUCUUUCACCGGUGAAGAUAAUGACGGUAACCGGAGAAGAAGCCCCGGCUAACUUCGUGCCAGCAGCCGCGGUAAUACGAAGGGGGCUAGCGUUGUUCGGAUUUACUGGGCGUAAAGCGCACGUAGGCGGACUAUUAAGUCAGGGGUGAAAUCCCGGGGCUCAACCCCGGAACUGCCUUUGAUACUGGUAGUCUUGAGUUCGAGAGAGGUGAGUUGAAUUCCGAGUGUAGAGGUGAAAUUCGUAGAUAUUCGGAGGAACACCAGUGGCGAAGGCGGCUCACUGGCUCGAUACUGACGCUGAGGUGCGAAAGCGUGGGGAGCAAACAGG